UUAAACCUUUGUCAGAGAGUUUUGUUAUAAAAAUGUUCUCCCAGUUUGUUGCUUUCCUUCUCAUUUUUGAUGCAUUGGUUUCGUUUGUACAAAAACUCAUCUUUCAUUUUCAACAAAAACCAGUAAUGUUGCAAUUUGCUCUCAUAGCAUCAUCUAGCAAAACCAUGAUCUAACCAAACCCUGAUCCUUGACUUUCUAUCUUACAAUUUUCAUCAUUUUUUAAGCUCUAAAGGUUUUGAUGGGUGAAGACUUUCUUUACUGCUCUGAUAUCCAUAUUUUUCUCAGUGUCACCAGGAGUCAGGCCUGAACCAUUUUCCCUAUAACCUACCUGCCGAUAGUCCCUUUCUCAGAAAGAUAUGCAGUCCAGCCAAAUAAAUGCAGCCAGGGGCCAUCCCCCACCAUAUACUGAAUGCUUCUCGCCGCUGGGGCCACCAGGGAGUGGUAUGUUUCAUCCUCGAUUUUUCCAGAUUUGUGGCAUAAGCCACACCGUUUUGGUCAGAAUCCUAAAGCUGUUUUCUCUGUGAUGCCUCCAUGGUAUAAAUGGUUCCACAUUUGGGCACUUGACGCUGCCUCAGUUCAUACAAGUGCUCAGGUUGUCUUCCUCCUUCUUACAGCACGCUAGCAUCCUGGUUACAUACCAAAUGUGUUUAACUGUUUUACAGCAGGAAGACGCCCCUUACUUUCCAAUGGUGGGUGCUAGAAAUGUUUCUGUGAGGUGGGGGUCAUUGUAAUCUCUACCACUUUGGUGGGUCUGGAAGAGAAACCCCAAAGUCCUGCUCAUCUGCAUUUCUCUAGUUAUUAGUGACUCUUUCACUGUUCUUUGACCGCCCGUCUACUGGAGAACCGAUUCCUCUCGAGUUUUUUUCUGUUUCUAGAAGCUGAGGCUUGGAUCAGAGAAACUCGGCCCAAAGGUUUUUCCUAUUCACUUGUUCCUCUUCUAAUUUUACACUAUUAUAUUCGCUUGUGCAGAAACGUCUAAAAUCUACCUUUGGUCAAAAUUGUCCUUUUUACCUCGCCUGUUCUUUUUCUGUCUCCUCUUCAAUCGCGGCCCUGGGUCAUCUCUGCCAUCCCAGACCUCCUCAAUGGCGUCGCGUGCCCUCCUUUGGCACCGAUUUUGGUGUUGGUCUAAUACUCCUUCCCCACGUGUUUGCUGCCAGGGCCAUUUUGGCCUCUGGAGACUUUUCUGUCCUCCACUGUCUUGGGGACUAGAUGCGAGUCCAUGGGCAGCUCAGGAGUCAUUGGGACUUUGCUGAACUGUCUAGCCAAGGCCCAGGCCGCCUGGUGGUCAGUGCCAGCUCAGGACUCCCUCAGUCCUGUAUUCUCCAUGUGGGGUAAAACCUGGUUAAUUGAGGUUAAAUUGUUCUCUUGGAGUGAUUCGGGGUGGAGGCAUUUCUCGUUUUCAUCCUGUGACCCCUUGACCAUUGGGUGAUGACUGGCUGCUCGAGAUGGGGUAGAGUCUCUGGCCUCUGGCCCAUGCUGGGGUGGCUCUUCCUGGCUCUCACAGAGCGACCCUAUUUUCCCCCCUCCAUCCCCGUUUUUGAUGCCUCGGAAUGGUCCUAGUGGCUGGCUUUUGGCCUGGCUGGUGCCCAUGUUGGCUUUGCCCUCUGGUGCAUCUUGUCUGUGGUCCUCCGUGGCCUCACACUGUGCCAUCUGGAUGGUUGCUUCGUGAUGGAGAUCCAGCGAUGCUGAGCUCACUCUGGGGGCUGUUUAUCUCCCGCCUGUCCUCCAUCUCUUGCUCCUUCCAAUGAAUUCCUUUGUCUCCUUCCAUAAAGUGAGCUGAGCUGGCAUGCUGCGGCACAAGACGUGGCACAGAAUCUCACUGGCUGGCCUUUCAGCACGUGGGGCCGGGGAUCCCCUCUGAUACCCCCUCUUUGGCCUUGGGGCCUCUCCUUUCUCCUCUUCCUCACUCCCCUCCCUCAGCAUGGCAGGACGUGAUGGCAGCCUCCCGAGAGUCCCCAGGUUUGCUGACCGCCCGGCUCACUCUGGCCUCGUCCGGUGGCUGGAGUUGGUCGUCCAUCUAAUCCUUCUCAGGGAAGGGAAGGGAACCUGGACAGAAUGGAAGAGGGUGGCCGUCCCUGCUCAGGCUUUGCUGCUGGAUGCUGAUCCCUUCAGACUGUGGGAGUUGCCUGCCAGCACCCCUCAGCCCUAGGGGGGUCCAUCAGGGGGAUCCCCCACCCUGUCUCUGGGACGGAGGCCGUACCAGGCCCCCACCUUCCUUCUCUCGGACCAUGAUGCUCCCCGGCCGGGGAUACAUGAUGUGAAAGCGACCGGAGGUGAGAGCAUCCCUCAUCCCAUGUGGAAGCCACAGAGCCUUCGGGGAAGCAGUGAGUGUGGCAGACAGCGGGCAUGGGCAGUGGCAUCGGGAGAGGGCUCUGGAGUGGGGUGCCUAUGCGUGACUUCAGGGGCAGCCAAGACUCAGAGGGCCCGAGUUCAAAUCCUGCUCUGAAACUUACCACUGUAGGGCCUGGGGCAAAGCCUUUAGCCUCUUUCCUAAACUGUAAAAUGAGGGAAUGUGCCUCGAUCAUCUCUAGAAGGCUUCUUCCAGCCCUACGGCCGUCCUGUGGCCUGACCAGGAGUCCCAGGGCUGCCCCGACCAGGGCAUUCUCACUUGCCAGGGCCCCGUGGCUGGAUGUUUCUCGGGGUUGGGCAGGGGGGUGAGGAUAGCAGCCGGGGCACAGUCGGCAUCUGCCUGCCACAGAGGUCUCUCGUGUGGACGGUGUAAUAGAGGAGUGUCGGGGAAGAGUGGACCUAAGAAGAGGGUGGCGGCCCCUCUGGGAGUCCUAAUAAGGGCCCCUCUGCACCCCAAGGGGCCUCUGGGCCCAGAAAGCACGAGGCAGGUGCUCUGAGGAGGCCAGGGUGGCCCCCGGGGGCUGUUUCCAAGGCCAGGCCUCUGGGAGCCCCCACCUUCCUUCCUAGGGUUCAACAAGCUUAAAAGAAAAGGAGGAGCAGCGCCAGGCAGGCUGGGUAAGACUCCCGGGCAUGUGGGGAAGAAGGGAGAGGAGGAGGGCACCAGGCAGGGGGGCCACAGCAGAGAGGCU